rnacentral:lncRNA from 1 species
AGGGAGCUAAAAACAAAGAGAGAACGACAGAGAGGACCUUCUUCCUUCUUCUUUGAAUAACACACACAAAAAUCCCCACAAAAAAGUGACUAAUAAAAAGAGAGCACAAAAUUGGAAAAAAAGAGAUUUGGGAAAAAGAUAGAAAAGCAGAGAAACAAAGGGGACAAAGAAUGAGGUCUGGAAAAAUGCUUGAAAAAGGAGAGUAGCACAGCUUUGGGUUAGGGGGUUUUUCUUAUUUCAUUUUUAUUGUUAUUGUUUUAUUUUUUUCAUUCUUCAAUACAACCAUGAACUUCAAUUAAGAUACAACUAUAUAAAUCCCCCCUAAAAACUCUAUUAAAACUCCUCACAAGCUCCAAAAAUCAGCUUUUAUUUCCUCCAAAAUUUUAGCCAAAACUCCAGCCAAAAACCACCCCGAACCCAGCUGUAAAAUCACUCAAAAACACCCCAAACUCCAGCUCCAAAUUACCUAAAAAACAGAGUGAAAUCAACCACAAAAUAACCCCAAACGCAACUGAAAAAAGCCACACACCUCACGCCCAUUUUCAACCAUUAAAAGCUGAAGAAUCAGCAAUGAAAAAAGCCGCGAAUCAUCUCCAAAACGGUCGUUAAUCACUACCCGAAACACUCCAUAGAGCACACUCAAAAUGUUUGAGAUUGCUAUGUCAUUAGGGGAAGGUAUCAGUCAUGAUUCUCAUUUUCGAGGUCGCCGGUUUGAGGUUUCCGUUCGUGAUCUUUGGUUGAUGGUUUUUGUCACGACCCAAAAAUCCAGUAAGGGUCGUGGUAGAGCCAGACACCGCUAUCAGGCAAGCCAACUAAAAUAUUUAAUUAAAUUUUAAUUUUGGUAUUUUCUAAAAUUAUUUUUCUUUACACAUUAAAUAACGAAUAAUAAAAUUUACGGAGACAACCGUGAAAUCUUUAACAAACUUAACAUUUAAUAAUAUAAAAAUCCUACU